rnacentral:rRNA from 1 species
UACGGGGGGGGCAAGCGUUGUUCGGAAUUACUGGGCGUAAAGCGCGUGUAGGCGGCUAAGUAAGUCGGGCGUGAAAUCCCACGGCUCAACCGUGGAAGUGCACUCGAAACUGCAUAGCUAGAGUCCUGGAGAGGAAGGUGGAAUGCUUGGUGUAGAGGUGAAAUUCGUAGAUAUCAAGCGGAACACCGGUGGCGAAGGCGGCCUUCUGGACAGUGACGUGACGCUGAGACGCGAAAGCGUGGGGAGCAAACAGG